rnacentral:rRNA from 1 species
GACGAACGCUGGCGGCGUGCUUAACACAUGCAAGUCGAACGGAAAGGCCCUGCUUUUGUGGGGUGCUCGAGUGGCGAACGGGUGAGUAACACGUGAGUAACCUGCCCUUGACUUUGGGAUAACUUCAGGAAACUGGGGCUAAUACCGGAUAGGAGCUCCUGCUGCAUGGUGGGGGUUGGAAAGUUUCGGCGGUUGGGGAUGGACUCGCGGCUUAUCAGCUUGUUGGUGGGGUAGUGGCUUACCAAGGCUUUGACGGGUAGCCGGCCUGAGAGGGUGACCGGCCACAUUGGGACUGAGAUACGGCCCAGACUCCUACGGGAGGCAACAGAGGGAAUAUUGCACAAUGGGCGGAAGCCUGAUGCAGCAACGCCGCGUGCGGGAUGACGGCCUUCGGGUUGUAAACCGCUUUCGCCUGUGACGAAGCGUGAGUGACGGUAAUGGGUAAAGAAGCACCGGCUAACUACGUG